rnacentral:rRNA from 1 species
UACGUAGGGGGCAAGCGUUGUUCGGAAUUACUGGGCGUAAAGGGCGCGUAGGCGGCAUGGCAAGUCAGGAGUGAAAGGCCUGGGCUCAACCGAGGAACUGCUUUUGAUACUGCCAAGCUAGAGUGCGGAAGGGGCAACUGGAAUUCCCAGUGUAGCGGUGAAAUGCGUAGAUAUUGGGAAGAACACCUGAGGCGAAGGCGGGUUGCUGGGCCGACACUGACGCUGAGGCGCGAAAGCCAGGGGGAGCAAACAGG